GAAGUGCGAAUGCUGACAUGAGUAACGAUAAAGCGGGUGAAAAGCCCGCUCGCCGGAAGACCAAGGGUUCCUGUCCAACGUUAAUCGGGGCAGGGUGAGUCGACCCCUAAGGCGAGGCCGAAAGGCGUAGUCGAUGGGAAACAGGUUAAUAUUCCUGUACUUGGUGUUACUGCGAAGGGGGGACGGAGAAGGCUAUGUUGGCCGGGCGACGGUUGUCCCGGUUUAAGCGUGUAGGCUGGUUUUCCAGGCAAAUCCGGAAAAUCAAGGCUGAGGCGUGAUGACGAGGCACUACGGUGCUGAAGCAACAAAUGCCCUGCUUCCAGGAAAAGCCUCUAAGCAUCAGGUAACAUCAAAUCGUACCCCAAACCGACACAGGUGGUCAGGUAGAGAAUACCAAGGCGCUUGAGAGAACUCGGGUGAAGGAACUAGGCAAAAUGGUGCCGUAACUUCGGGAGAAGGCACGCUGAUAUGUAGGUGAAGUCCCUCGCGGAUGGAGCUGAAAUCAGUCGAAGAUACCAGCUGGCUGCAACUGUUUAUUAAAAACACAGCACUGUGCAAACACGAAAGUGGACGUAUACGGUGUGACGCCUGCCCGGUGCCGGAAGGUUAAUUGAUGGGGUUAGCGGUAACGCGAAGCUCUUGAUCGAAGCCCCGGUAAACGGCGGCCGUAACUAUAACGGUCCUAAGGUAGCGAAAUUCCUUGUCGGGUAAGUUCCGACCUGCACGAAUGGCGUAAUGAUGGCCAGGCUGUCUCCACCCGAGACUCAGUGAAAUUGAACUCGCUGUGAAGAUGCAGUGUACCCGCGGCAAGACGGAAAGACCCCGUGAACCUUUACUAUAGCUUGACACUGAACAUUGAGCCUUGAUGUGUAGGAUAGGUGGGAGGCUUUGAAGUGUGGACGCCAGUCUGCAUGGAGCCGACCUUGAAAUACCACCCUUUAAUGUUUGAUGUUCUAACGUUGGCCCCUAAUCGGGGUUGCGGACAGUGUCUGGUGGGUAGUUUGACUGGGGCGGUCUCCUCCUAAAGAGUAACGGAGGAGCACGAAGGUUGGCUAAUCCUGGUCGGACAUCAGGAGGUUAGUGCAAUGGCAUAAGCCAGCUUGACUGCGAGCGUGACGGCGCGAGCAGGUGCGAAAGCAGGUCAUAGUGAUCCGGUGGUUCUGAAUGGAAGGGCCAUCGCUCAACGGAUAAAAGGUACUCCGGGGAUAACAGGCUGAUACCGCCCAAGAGUUCAUAUCGACGGCGGUGUUUGGCACCUCGAUGUCGGCUCAUCACAUCCUGGGGCUGAAGUAGGUCCCAAGGGUAUGGCUGUUCGCCAUUUAAAGUGGUACGCGAGCUGGGUUUAGAACGUCGUGAGACAGUUCGGUCCCUAUCUGCCGUGGGCGCUGGAGAACUGAGGGGGGCUGCUCCUAGUACGAGAGGACCGGAGUGGACGCAUCACUGGUGUUCGGGUUGUCAUGCCAAUGGCACUGCCCGGUAGCUAAAUGCGGAAGAGAUAAGUGCUGAAAGCAUCUAAGCACGAAACUUGCCCCGAGAUGAGUUCUCCCUGACUCCCUGAGAGUCCUGAAGGAACGUUGAAGACGACGACGUUGAUAGGCCGGGUGUGUAAGCGCAGCGAUGCGUUGAGCUAACCGGUACUAAUGAACCGUGAGGCUUAACCUU
rnacentral:rRNA from 1 species